rnacentral:rRNA from 1 species
UGCAGUCGAGCGGUAACAGGAAUUAGCUUGCUAAUUUGCUGACGAGCGGCGGACGGGUGAGUAACGCGUAGGAAUCUGCCUGGUAGUGGGGGACAACAUGUGGAAACGCAUGCUAAUACCGCAUACGCCCUACGGGGGAAAGGAGGGGAUCUUCGGACCUUUCGCUAUCAGAUGAGCCUGCGUGAGAUUAGCUAGUUGGUGGGGUAAAGGCUCACCAAGGCGACGAUCUCUAGCUGGUCUGAGAGGAUGAUCAGCCACACUGGGACUGAGACACGGCCCAGACUCCUACGGGAGGCAGCAGUGGGGAAUAUUGGACAAUGGGCGCAAGCCUGAUCCAGCCAUGCCGCGUGAGUGAUGAAGGCCUUAGGGUCGUAAAGCUCUUUCGCCUGUGAUGAUAAUGACAGUAGCAGGUAAAGAAACCCCGGCUAACUCCGUGCCAGCAGCCGCGGUAAUACGGAGGGGGUUAGCGUUGUUCGGAAUUACUGGGCGUAAAGCGCGCGUAGGCGGUUUGUUAAGUCGGAUGUGAAAUCCCAGGGCUCAACCUUGGAAUGGCACCCGAUACUGGCAGGCUAGAGUACGGUAGAGGGGUGUGGAAUUUCCUGUGUAGCGGUGAAAUGCGUAGAUAUAGGAAGGAACAUCAGUGGCGAAGGCGACACUCUGGACCGAUACUGACGCUGAGGUAC